rnacentral:lncRNA from 1 species
ACUUGCUAAGUGAAAAGAAGCAGGCUACUAAAGAACAUGCCAGUAAUCUUAAUUUAAUAAGCAUUUUUUUAGCAUUGACUAUACCUCAGGACCUGUGCCGGGCACAUAAGUGGUCAGGAGAGUCUCAGGCUGCAAAUGUGACUGAGGCGAGAAGCAGUGACAGCCUCUCAUGCUGCAGCUAUUCCAUAACCUGCGCACUUCUGGAAAGAUGGUACUUACAGUCCUUCCUCCAGCUGCCUUCUGCUAGUAAGAUUGACCCUGCUCCUUAUACAGUAGAGCCCGAAUAACUUUACAAACUUCAGAAGGAAAUAGAAGGGCAAUUGUGCCAGAAAGACAAUAACCACCAUGCUUUACAGAGACCUUUGAGCAGGCACCAUGAUGGAAAAUAUUUUGAAGCGAUGCAACAAAUCCAGGAGUAUGAGACAUUAAAACCCCACUUCAUUUUACAAAGCUGCCUCUGAAGAUCGGUGAAGCUUGAGACCCACAACAGAGCAGAAAAGACUUCAGAACAAAUAAACAUCAGCACUGCUAGAAAA